CGCGAGAGUAGAAGCGUUCAGCCGGGCCGCAGGCCGCCCGCGCGGGUCAUUGCUCUUGUU
rfam:Acidovorax sp. MR-S7 DNA, scaffold: scaffold93, whole genome shotgun sequence.